UUCACGGAUGCAAUUUGUGAU
ensembl:piRNA 21ur-4081 ncRNA